rnacentral:rRNA from 1 species
AUUGAACGCUGGCGGCAUGCCUUACACAUGCAAGUCGAACGGUAACAGGUCUUCGGAUGCUGACGAGUGGCGAACGGGUGAGUAAUACAUCGGAACGUGCCCGAUCGUGGGGGAUAACGGAGCGAAAGCUUUGCUAAUACCGCAUAAGAUCUAAGGAUGAAAGCAGGGGACCGCAAGGCCUUGCGCGAACGGAGCGGCCGAUGGCAGAUUAGGUAGUUGGUGGGGUAAAGGCUUACCAAGCCUACGAUCUGUAGCUGGUCUGAGAGGACGACCAGCCACACUGGGACUGAGACACGGCCCAGACUCCUACGGGAGGCAGCAGUGGGGAAUUUUGGACAAUGGGCGCAAGCCUGAUCCAGCCAUGCCGCGUGCAGGAUGAAGGCCUUCGGGUUGUAAACUGCUUUUGUACGGAACGAAAAGACUCCUUCUAAUAAAGGGGGUUCAUGACGGUACCGUAAGAAUAAGCACCGGCUAACUACGUGCCAGCCGCCGCAGUAACAC